ACGGAGGAUCCGAGCGUUAUCAGGAUUUACUGGGUUUAAAGGGUGCGUAGGAGGGCCCCUCAGUCAGCGGUGAAAGUCUGCGGAUCAACCGUAGGAUUGCCGUUGAUACUGGGGGCCUUGGAUUCGGUCGAGGCGAGGGUAAGGUGGGGUGUGGCUGUGAAAUGCUUGGGUAUCACGCAGAACAUGGAUUGCGUAGUGUGUUUUCCGGGCCGUUAUCGACGCUGUGCCACAAAAGUUUUGAGAUCGAACAU
rnacentral:rRNA from 1 species